GGUGGCUCAGUGGUAGAGCACUUGCCUUGCACGCCUGAGGCCCUGGGUUCAAUUCCUCAGCACCA
rnacentral:tRNA from 1 species